rnacentral:pre_miRNA from 1 species
CGGGGUCAAAUUGACUCUAGUAGGGAGUCCGUUAAUUUAGUGCGACUCCCUAACGGAGUCAGGUUGACUCCCUU